CUUUUUACGGAUUGCAGACAAUUUACAGAGGACUUCCCUCUCGUACUCUGCUCUCAGCUCCUUCCUAACAGCUGGGACAGAAGCUGUCUGGGAUUGGAGCCCUGAAAGAGAACCCUUCUAAAAGCGCGUCCUCCCAGCAGCAAUCUCCUCUUCCUCC